AGUGAACGCUGGCGGUAGGCCUAACACAUGCAAGUCGAACGGCAGCACAGUAAGAGCUUGCUCUUACGGGUGGCGAGUGGCGGACGGGUGAGGAAUACAUCGGAAUCUACUUUUUCGUGGGGGAUAACGUAGGGAAACUUACGCUAAUACCGCAUACGACCUACGGGUGAAAGCAGGGGAUCUUCGGACCUUGCGCGAUUGAAUGAGCCGAUGUCGGAUUAGCUAGUUGGCGGGGUAAAGGCCCAACAAGGCGACGAUCCGUAGCUGGUCUGAGAGGAUGAGCAGCUACACUGGAACUGAGACACGGUCCAGACUCCGACGGUAGGCAGCAGUGGGGAAUAUUGGGCAAUGGGGGCAAGCCUGAUCCAGCCAUACCGCGUGGGUGAAGAAGGCCUUCGGGUUGUAAAGCCCUUUUGUUGGGAAAGAAAAGCAGCAGGUUAAUACCCCGCUGUUCUGACGGUACCCAAAGAAUAAGCACCGGCUAACUUCGUG
rnacentral:rRNA from 1 species